GCCACAAGUCCGAGCAUCUCUGUCAGUCUUGUCGGCUCCGGAGAGUCGCCCCUGCAGGCCAACAUCCCGCUGAUGGGCGAGACCGAAAGGCCGACUGCAAUGGCUGAUCACGCUUUCCAAAUGACGGGAAACAUCACGAGCACCAUUCCAAACGUGGUCUCCACGUCCAAUACCCUAUAUCCGGGCGGCGUCAUCGGCUUCAACAUGACGAUCUUCACGCCACCGGGCGUCAAC